rnacentral:rRNA from 1 species
UACGUAGGGUGCGAGCGUUAAUCGGAAUUACUGGGCGUAAAGCGUGCGUAGGCGGUUCGUUAAGUCAGCUGUGAAAGCCCCGGGCUCAACCUGGGAACUGCGGUUGAAACUGGCGAACUAGAAUCUGGCAGAGGGGGGGUGGAAUUCCACGUGUAGCAGUGAAAUGCGUAGAGAUGUGGAGGAACACCGAUGGCGAAGGCAGCCCCCUGGGCUGAGAUUGACGCUCAGGCACGAAAAGCGUGGGGGAGCAAACAGGAUU